rnacentral:rRNA from 1 species
AGUUUGAUCCUGGCUCAGGACGAACGCUGGCGGCGUGCCUAAUGCAUGCAAGUCGAACGCACCCGCUUCGGCGGGUGAGUGGCGCACGGCUGAGUAACACGUGGGAACCCGCCCCCCGGUGGGGGAUAACGCGACGAAAGUUGCGCUAAUCCCGCAUACGUCCGCAAGGAGAAAGCGCACCCGCGCGCCGGGGGAGGGGCCUGCGGCCCAUCAGGUCGUUGGUGGGGUAAGGGCCUACCAAGCCGAUGACGGGUAGCUGGUCUGGGAGGAUGACCAGCCAGACUGGGACUGAGACACGGCCCAGACUCCUACGGGAGGCAGCAGCAAGGAAUUUUCGGCAAUGGGCGCAAGCCUGACCGAGCAACGCCGCGUGCGGGAUGACGGCCUUCGGGUUGUAAACCGCUUUUCGGGGGGACGACCCUGACGGUACCCCCGGAAUCAGCCCCGGCUAACUCUGUGCCAGCAGCCGCGGUAAGACAGAGGGGGCGGGCGUUGUCCGGAGUCACUGGGCGUAAAGCGCGCGCAGGCGGCAACCUAAGUGUCGUGUGAAAGCCCCCGGCUCAACCGGGGGAGGCCAUGGCAAACUGGGUCGCUCGAGCUGCGGAGAGGCCCCUCGAAUUGCCGGUGUAGCGGUGAAAUGCGUAGAGAUCGGCAGGAAGACCAAGGGGGAAGCCAGGGGGCUGGCCGCAGGCUGACGCUGAGGCGCGACAGCGUGGGGAGCAAACCGGAUUAGAUACCCGGGUAGUCCACGCCGUAAACGAUGACCACUCGGCGUGUGGCGACUAUUGACGUCGCGGCGCGCCCUAGCUCACGCGAUAAGUGGUCCGCCUGGGAACUACGAGCGCAAGCUUAAAACUCAAGGGAAUUGA